AGGCACCCGCACAUGUAGAUGUAGACUAUGAAAAGGUACACGUUGCUAAAUAGCAGGGAGACAUCGCGGACGGACCGGGAGCUGCAGGCAUCUUCCGGAUCAUGUGAUCUCCUACAUGAAUAGUGAUUACCGACUGAAGACGCUGUCUGCCCAGGAAGGAUACAUUUCUUCAGAGGUUCCCCGUUAUGAGAAACCACCAUAUAGGCCCCAGUGUGGAGAUUCCGACACACUAGACUCAUAAGAGGAUGUAUCCAGGCAAAUUCCUAUUUCUCAAGUGUGAAGGAGGUAUUAGUGUCAUUUUCUACCAUAUUGAUACUGAUGGGUUCCACAAGAGCUGGCACUUAUACUAAACUGUAACUUUAAACAUAAGCUCCUCCCCUCUGCAACUCCUAGUAGGCCAGUACAACUUAAAGAGAGCAAGGAGAGAAUCUGUGCAGUACACAUAGGAAGUUCUGUCUAAGUACAGCCUCAGGGCCUGGACAACAUCCAACAGUGCAAGCUCAUCCUGGUCUCUGGAAGACAGCGAAGGACAAAAAUCCAGAAAUACAAUUUCUUGGUUCAAGUGAAAAUCAUAAUUUACUAUCUCUUGGAAUGAAGGAACCAUCCUCAAAAUGACACUAUCAUCAUGAAAAAUAUGAGAAAUAUGAAAUAUAAGAAAAGUAGGCUUGCAAUACAAAACACCCAACUCUGAAACACGCAGAGCUGAGGCCAUGGCCAUAAGGAAGAUCAACUUGCUAGUUAAAAUCUUAAAUUCCAUACAAUCCAAAGACUCAAAGUGAGUCUUCUUGAGAGCAGAGAUGACCUGAUUAAGUUCCCAUGGUGCUAGCAGUGAAUAAAAUGGUGGUUGAACCCACAACACACAAUGCAAAAAGGUCUAACCUCUGGAAAAAGAGCCAGACACCACUGAAAAUAAAUCAACAGAGCCGAAAUCUACACAUUUAAAAAACUAACCUGUAAACCGGCCUCCAAACUGCCCUGAAGGAAAUCUAAGAAACGAGGAAGGUGGAACCGGGAAGUAUGAAAGCCAUGCUUCUCACACCACAGGAUGUAGAUCUUGCAGACCCUGUGAUAAUUGCAGGACAAAACUGUUUUCUUGGGCUACAAACAUAGUACAAACCACCAAGAAAAAAACCCCUUAUCCUUCAGGAGCCCGGCCUCAAAAGCCAGACUGUUAACGCAAAUCGAGGAAGGUCCUCGAGCAGAAAUGUACUCUGCAGCAACAGAUCUGGCCAAAGUGGAAGAUGCCACCAGGAACUGCAUGGCCAGUCUGGAACCACUAGGAUUACCAGUACAUAUUGAUCCCUGACCCACUUGAGCACCGGAGGCAAUUGGGAUUGGGGAAAAGAAAUGCUAGUUGGAGGUCCCACAGAACUAUCAUGGCAUCCACUGCUGAUGUAAUCCGGUCCCUGGACCUUGCACAAAACCAGGGAACUUUGUAGUUGUUAUUAGAGGCCAUGAGGUCCACCUCCGGAACACUCCACUUCUGGACCAACUGGUGGAAGACCUCUGGAUUAAAUGACCACUGCCCUAGGAGAAAUGUGGUUCUUCUCAAUUUUCCACACCCAGUAUGAACAUCACUGAGAGUGCCAGAACAAAAGCUUCCACCCAGGAAAGAAUGCAGGUCGCUCUGAUGAUUUACAUAUGCAUAUCAUUGAAAUAACGUAUGAUCGCAAUACUUUCCUAACGCAGCAGGCUCCCUAUAACUGCAAUGAUUUUUGUGAAAUUCCAUGGGGCCAAGGCCAAACUAAUUGGUAAGGUCUGGAACACUUUGUCAGCCGAGCUGACUGUGAACUGGAGGAAAGAGUGAUGACCUGCUCAAAAAGGAAUGUGACAUCGAGUAAGAUCACAAAUUUGUUGGCCCCCAUAGAUCACCGUAUAAAAGAACAUAGUAUAAAUUACCUUUGCGCUUAUAUA